rnacentral:rRNA from 1 species
AAUGAACGCUGGCGGCGUGCCUAACACAUGCAAGUCGGAUGUGCCGCAAGGUGCAUGGCAGACGGGUGAGUAACGCGUGGGGAACCUACCUCUUCGUGGGGAAUAACGAUCCGAAAGGAUUGGUAAUACCGCAUGAGACCGAUGGCUGGGAUGCUGUCGGUGAAAGCUGGGGACCAGCAAUGGCCUAGCGCGAGGAGAGGGUCCUGCGUCUGAUUAGCUAGUUGGUGGGGUAAUGGCCUACCAAGGCGGCGAUCAGUAGCCGGCCUGAGAGGGUGAUCGGCCACACUGGAACCGAGCCACGGUCCAGACUCCUACGGGAGGCAGCAGUGGGGAAUUUUGCGCAAGGGGCGAAAGCCUGACGCAGCAACGCCGCGUGGGUGAUAAAGGUCUUCGGAUUGUAAAACCCUGUCGUCGGGGACGAAGGUGGGGGCGUGAACAGCGCCUUUGCUUGACGGUACCCGGAGAGGAAGCCCCGGCUAACUACGUGCCAGCAGCCGCCGUAACAC